UUAGAUACCCGUCUAUUUAUGACAUAAAUCAACAGCUGAAUAUUACGAAUACUAAUUUAAAAUUCAAAGAUUUUGGCGGUGUCUUAUAAAACCAGGGGAACCUGUCUCAUAACUCGAUAAUCCACGCUCGACACAACCUUCUCUAGAAUACGCAGCUUGUGUACUGCCGUUGUAAGCAUACCUCUAAAAGAAUAAGUGUGCUACUAUGAUUAUCACUUAACUCAUACACAUCAGGUCAAAGUGCAGCUAAUAAGAAGGAGAUGAUGGGUUACAACCCAGAAAAAGACUAUCAAAUAAGAAAUAAAAAAUCUUAUGAAAGUGGACUUGGCCGUAAUUAAUAAACAAAUUAAAGAAAUGAAUAACAAUCUAAGACAUGCACACAUCGCCCUCACUCACCUAAUUG
rnacentral:rRNA from 1 species